ensembl:snoRNA SNORA70 Small nucleolar RNA SNORA70
CUGCAGCCAAUUAAGCCGACUGAGUUCCUUUCCUCAUGGGGGCCCAGUGUGCAAUGGCUGCAAACAGCAGCUUCCCUGGUAGUGAUGCAGCCUGUUUGUUGUAUGGGUUGCUCUAAAGGACCUUGGAGACAGUC